GCCUAACACAUGCAAGUCGAGCGGUAACAGGAAAGAAAGCUUGCUUUCUUUGCUGACGAGCGGCGGACGGGUGAGUAAUGCCUAGGAAAUUGCCCUGAUGUGGGGGAUAACCAUUGGAAACGAUGGCUAAUACCGCAUAAUCUCUUCGGAGCAAAGAGGGGGACCUUCGGGCCUCUCGCGUCAGGAUAUGCCUAGGUGGGAUUAGCUAGUUGGUGAGGUAAUGGCUCACCAAGGCGACGAUCCCUAGCUGGUCUGAGAGGAUGAUCAGCCACACUGGAACUGAGACACGGUCCAGACUCCUACGGGAGGCAGCAGUGGGGAAUAUUGCACAAUGGGCGCAAGCCUGAUGCAGCCAUGCCGCGUGUAUGAAGAAGGCCUUCGGGUUGUAAAGUACUUUCAGUCGUGAGGAAGGCAUCAACGUUAAUAGCGUUGGUGUUUGACGUUAGCGACAGAAGAAGCACCGGCUAACUCCGUGCCAGCAGCCGCGGUAAUACGGAGGGUGCGAGCGUUAAUCGGAAUUACUGGGCGUAAAGCGCAUGCAGGUGGUUCGUUAAGUCAGAUGUGAAAGCCCGGGGCUCAACCUCGGAAUUGCAUUUGAAACUGGCGGACUAGAGUACUGUAGAAGGGGGUAGAAUUUCAGGUGUAGCGGUGAAAUGCGUAGAGUCUGAAGGAAUACGGUGCGAAGCGCCCCCUGGACAGAUACUGAC
rnacentral:rRNA from 1 species